CAGUCGCCGCGGGAAUACAGAGGGUGCGAGCGUUAAUCGGAUUUACUGGGCGUAAAGCGUGCGUAGGCGGCUUCUUAAGUCGGAUGUGAAAUCCCUGAGCUUAACUUAGGAAUUGCAUUCGAUACUGGGAAGCUAGAGUAUGGGAGAGGAUGGUAGAAUUCCAGGUGUAGCGGUGAAAUGCGUAGAGAUCUGGAGGAAUACCGAUGGCGAAGGCAGCCAUCUGGCCUAAUACUGACGCUGAGGUACGAAAGCAUGGGGAGCAAACAGGAUUAGAUACCCCAGUAGUCCCUGUCUCUUUACA
rnacentral:rRNA from 1 species